GGGCGUGUGGUCUAGUGGUAUGAUUCUCGCUUUGGGCGAGGUUCGAGACUUAACUCGGACCAAUUACCAGACAUGUGAGAGGCCCUGGGUUCAAUUCCCAGCUCGCCCC
rnacentral:tRNA from 1 species